CAGCACACCAGAGAGACAGAGAGGGAGCUACCAUCCGGCUGACUAGCCGGGAGAAACAGAGCACAGAAGGAGCUGGGCAAGGAAGAAGAGGCAUUUCUCUGAAGGAGAGAAAGAGAGAAUGCGAGCCCCACCCACAGGACCAGGUUGAAACCUCUAGACUUGAAAGCUGUCCAAGACGAUGACAGAUCUGCAUGACUAACUGGAGAGUCUCGUCUCACAAUAAUGUGACUUUUGUUGCUGAACCCUUUCCAAUCUCAGCUGCAUUGCCAGGACAGAAUAAAAUAGGACAUUCUGCAUUUCAGGACGAGCUGGUAUUCAGAGAGCAGUACUAGUCUGACCUCUCAUAAUGAAGAAUGGCUUCUUAUAUUAGCAGUGUUCAGAGAGGACUAGUCCUAUCUGAAAUAUACUCAUUUAGUGGAACAACUACGGAAGCAGCAUCCCUGGAGAGUAUUACAGCCAUGAAAUAAUUAUCUGCCUCACCAGGUGAGUUGCAUGUUGUCCAUAGCUGGACUAUGAGCGCAGCUGUCAGGAAUAAGUUAGAUUGACAGAGUAAAAGUCUAUUCUGAAAUGAAAGAAAAAAAUAUUUAGGAAGAAAAACCUACACCAGAGAAGCCUGUAUGUUUGGAUAAUUCCACAAAAACAGUCCCAGUUUAGCAAAGAAAAUUAACUGUCUGCUUUACUGGCAUCUCUGCAAACUUUCUCCCUGGGAACAAAGAACCAGGACUGGGAGAUUCCUUCCUAAUGUGACUUCCAGACAUACAGCCCCCACCAGUCUUGCUAAACACAUACUGCUGUUACAGUAUGUCUGCACUUGACAGUCAUGUAAUUCUUUGACCAUUUUUAAACUUCAGGAGAGACGGACUCCAUGCUCAUCAUCAUUCCUGCUCCCCUCUUCCCCCCACCCUCCCAAUCUCAGUGCCUUGAUACCCAGACUGGGAGGCUGUGGCAUUAACCACAGCUCUUACCUCUCCAAAAGAAAGGACACAAGAGGCAAACUUUGAGCCAGGACAUGGCCAGCAAAUACACAGGACCCAAGCAGACACUUCCAUGCAUGUCAUCUAUCACAGGUAUUGAUGGACACAUGGAAAGUUUGAGGUCUUGUGAAAAAAAAAGAGUCAGGCAAGAGUUUAGUUUGCGGGCAUUAAGAGCACUGCCUAGGGAUUACCUGUCAGGACACUUAUGAACUCCACAUGAGCUAACUUUAUAAAAAAAAAAAUGUUUCUUUUGCACAAGUCAUGAUUGGAUAGUGACUGAAGAGGAAAACACACAGAACAAAACAAUGCAGAUUAAAACAGCAUUUCUUAAUGAAGCCUUGUGGCUGCUGCUUUCCAGUAUGUUGAAUGCUGAUAGUUCAAAUACCAGAACAUAAGAUUUAUUUGGAUUAUAAAUAGAUGUCGCCCUGUGCGUCAGUAUCAGAAGCACUCUGUUGUGUAAACAGAAAACUGUUGGGGGCUUUUUCUACUCUUAAAAAUUACUUGAAAGCUCCUGGCCACUCUUUGCUGACAGCCUUUUUCACCUGUUGGAGUUCCGUGUCUCUCUUGUGUAUCAUCACCUCUACAGCCUACAACAAGAAGCUGUUAAAAUGUCUUUUUUCAUAUGCCCUUUUCUCUGCUCUCUUGGUUGAUUUCCAGCUGGCUACACUACUCUGUUAGUUUUUAGCCACCCAGUUUAUUGAACUUGUCUUGGUUUUGGCAUUGUCCUGAUUUCCAUUAUAAUAUAUUUGCCUCUGGGGAAACACGGUUGCUACUAACUCCAGUGCCUCUUAUUUGUUUUGGAAA